rnacentral:lncRNA from 1 species
GCAAAAUGUUUUAAUCUUUCUGAAUGAAAAAGGUUUUCACAGUAUCAAAAGUGAAUAAUAAAAAAUAAAAAUAAAAAACAGAAAAGAAGCCAACUUGGCUUAGGCCUAAUGGAAUAAUAAACAUCCACAUUCCACACAUUUCAGAUAAUGUCUUCUAGUUAGUUGCAUAUAAACCUUAAAAGAUUUUCGGGAAGAAAAAAGAAAACCAAGAAGAGAAUAUAUGACGGAAAGCCUUUAAACAUCGAAGCACCACUUCCUUCGUAACAUCACUUCAACUAGCGAUCGUUUUGUGAUCAGAAAGGGAACUCAUCUAAGUUCAGGACUGCAGGAUCAGAUACGGAGUGACAAGCAGAAGUUCUCACUGAGGUGUACGACCCCAGAAGGGUCAGAGUAUUAUGAAAUAUUUUAAUCAUGGUUGAAAUCCUCACACAUCCUCAGAGAGACAGGUCAUUAUGGUUGAAAUCCUCACCCAUCCCCAGAGAGACAGGUCAUCAUUAUGGUUGAAAUCCUCACCCAUCCCCAGAGAGACAGGUCAUUAUGGUUGAAAUCCUCACCCAUCCUCAGAGAGAUAGGUCAUCAUUAUGGUUGAAAUCCUCACCCAUCCUCAGAGAGACAGGUCAUUAUGGUUGAAAUCCUCACCCAUCCUCAGAGAGACAGGUCAUCAUUAUGGUUGAAAUCCUCAGAGAGACAGGUCAUCAUUGUAGAUGUGUUGUAAAAGGCCCUACAAUCACUUAUUUCAUGUACAAACAUUGAGAUCGGGUGAUGAUUGAGGACAUUUUUCAACUGAAAACAAAACCAGUCGGUUAUUAUUGGACAAGUCCAAGUCGUCUGUUCCUGUCGUCUUCCGUUUGAGACCUAAUGAAUACAAUCCUGUAUCAGCAGGGAGGUGA